rnacentral:rRNA from 1 species
ACACGAUAUGCGGUUCACAGCAGGCAUCUAACGUGAACGAAAUGUGAAGGAGAAGGAUGGGGAUGCGUCUGAUUAGCUUGUUGGCGGGGUAACGGCCCACCAAGGCGACGAUCAGUAGGGGUUCUGAGAGGAAGGUCCCCCACAUUGGAACUGAGACACGGUCCAAACUCCUACGGGAGGCAGCAGUGAGGAAUAUUGGUCAAUGGACGAGAGUCUGAACCAGCCAAGUAGCGUGCAGGAUGACGGCCCUAUGGGUUGUAAACUGCUUUUAUAGGGGGAUAAAGUGUGUCACGUGUGGCAUAUUGCAGGUACCCUAUGAAUAAGGACCGGCUAAUUCCGUGCCAGCAGCCGCGGUAAUACGGAAGGUCCAGGCGUUAUCCGGAUUUAUUGGGUUUAAAGGGAGCGUAGGCCGUUUGGUAAGCGUGUUGUGAAAUGUCGGGGCUCAACCUGGGCAUUGCAGCGCGAACUGCCAGACUUGAGUGCGCAGGAAGUAGGCGGAAUUCGUCGUGUAGCGGUGAAAUGCUUAGAUAUGACGAAGAACUCCGAUUGCGAAGGCAGCCUGCUGUAGCGCAACUGACGCUGAAGCUCGAAAGCGUGGGUAUCGAACAGGAUUAGAUACCCUGGUAGUCCACGCGGUAAACGAUGGAUGCUCGCUGUUUGCGUCUGACGUAAGCGGCCAAGCGAAAGCGUUAAGCAUCCCACCUGGGGAGUAC